rnacentral:rRNA from 2 species
AACCCAGUGCAAUUCGUUGCACUAUCGUUAACUGAAUACAUAGGUUAACGAGGCGAACCGGGGGAACUGAAACAUCUAAGUACCCCGAGGAAAAGAAAUCAACCGAGAUUCCCCCAGUAGCGGCGAGCGAACGGGGAGCAGCCCAGAGUCUGAAUCAGCUUGUGUGUUAGUGGAACGGUCUGGAAAGUCCGACGGUACAGGGUGAUAGUCCCGUACACCAAAAUGCACAGGUUGUGAACUCGAAGAGUAGGGCGGGACACGUGGUAUCCUGUCUGAAUAUGGGGGGACCAUCCUCCAAGGCUAAAUACUCCUGACUGACCGAUAGUGAACCAGUACCGUGAGGGAAAGGCGAAAAGAACCCCGGCGAGGGGAGUGAAAAAGAACCUGAAACCGUGUACGUACAAGCAGUGGGAGCACCUUCGGGUGUGACUGCGUACCUUUUGUAUAAUGGGUCAGCGACUUAUAUUCUGUAGCAAGGUUAACCGUAUAGGGGAGCCGCAGGGAAACCGAGUCUUAACUGGGCGUUAAGUUGCAGGGUAUAGACCCGAAACCCGGUGAUCUAGCCAUGGGCAGGUUGAAGGUUGGGUAACACUAACUGGAGGACCGAACCGACUAAUGUUGAAAAAUUAGCGGAUGACUUGUGGCUGGGGGUGAAAGGCCAAUCAAACCGGGAGAUAGCUGGUUCUCCCCGAAAGCUAUUUAGGUAGCGCCUCGUGAACUCAUCUUCGGGGGUAGAGCACUGUUUCGGCUAGGGGGUCAUCCCGACUUACCAACCCGAUGCAAACUACGAAUACCGAAGAAUGUUAUCACGGGAGACACACGGCGGGUGCUAACGUCCGUCGUGAAGAGGGAAACAACCCAGACCGCCAGCUAAGGUCCCAAAGUCAUGGUUAAGUGGGAAACGAUGUGGGAAGGCACAGACAGCCAGGAUGUUGGCUUAGAAGCAGCCAUCAUUUAAAGAAAGCGUAAUAGCUCACUGGUCGAGUCGGCCUGCGCGGAAGAUGUAACGGGGCUAAACCAUGCACCGAAGCUGCGGCAGCGACACUAUGUGUUGUUGGGUAGGGGAGCG